GGUCAAGUGAAGAAGCGCAUACGGUGGAUGCCUUGGCAGUCAGAGGCGAUGAAAGACGUGGUAGCCUGCGAUAAGCUUUGGGGAGUCGGCAAACAGACUGUGAUCCAGAGAUCUCUGAAUGGGGGAACCCACUCAGCAUAAGCUGAGUAUCUUGUACUGAAUACAUAGGUGCAAGAGGCGAACCAGGGGAACUGAAACAUCUAAGUACCCUGAGGAAAAGAAAUCAACCGAGAUUCCCUUAGUAGUGGCGAGCGAACGGGGACCAGCCCUUAAGUUGGUUUGAGAUUAGUGGAACGCUCUGGAAAGUGCGGCCAUAGUGGGUGAUAGCCCCGUACACGAAAAUCUCUUAUCAAUGAAAUCGAGUAGGACGGAGCACGAGAAACUUUGUCUGAACAUGGGGGGACCAUCCUCCAAGGCUAAAUACUACUGACUGACCGAUAGUGAACCAGUACCGUGAGGGAAAGGCGAAAAGAACCCCGGAGAGGGGAGUGAAAUAGAACCUGAAACCGUAUGCGUACAAGCAGUGGGAGCCUACUUUGUUAGGUGACUGCGUACCUUUUGUAUAAUGGGUCAGCGACUUAUAUUCAGUGGCGAGCUUAACCGAAUAGGGGAGGCGUAGCGAAAGCGAGUCUUAAUAGGGCGUUUAGUCGCUGGGUAUAGACCCGAAACCGGGCGAUCUAUCCAUGGGCAGGUUGAAGGUUAGGUAACACUGACUGGAGGACCGAACCGACUACCGUUGAAAAGUUAGCGGAUGACCUGUGGAUCGGAGUGAAAGGCUAAUCAAGCUCGGAGAUAGCUGGUUCUCCUCGAAAGCUAUUUAGGUAGCGCCUCAUGUAUCACUGUAGGGGGUAGAGCACUGUUUCGGCUAGGGGGUCAUCCCGACUUACCAAACCGAUGCAAACUCCGAAUACCUACAAGUGCCGAGCAUGGGAGACACACGGCGGGUGCUAACGUCCGUCGUGAAAAGGGAAACAACCCAGACCGUCAGCUAAGGUCCCAAAGUCAUGGUUAAGUGGGAAACGAUGUGGGAAGGCUUAGACAGCUAGGAGGUUGGCUUAGAAGCAGCCACCCUUUAAAGAAAGCGUAAUAGCUCACUAGUCGAGUCGGCCUGCGCGGAAGAUGUAACGGGGCUCAAACCAUGCACCGAAGCUACGGGUAUCACCAUUAGGUGAUGCGGUAGAGGAGCGUUCUGUAAGCCUGUGAAGGUGAGUUGAGAAGCUUGCUGGAGGUAUCAGAAGUGCGAAUGCUGACAUGAGUAACGACAAUGCGAGUGAAAAACUCGCACGCCGAAAGACCAAGGUUUCCUGCGCAACGUUAAUCGACGCAGGGUUAGUCGGUCCCUAAGGCGAGGCUGAAAAGCGUAGUCGAUGGAAAACAGGUUAAUAUUCCUGUACUUCCAGUUAUUGCGAUGGAGGGACGGAGAAGGCUAGGCCAGCUUGGCGUUGGUUGUCCAAGUUUAAGGUGGUAGGCUGAGAUCUUAGGCAAAUCCGGGAUCUCAAGGCCGAGAGCUGAUGACGAGUGCUCUUUAGAGCGCGAAGUGGUUGAUGCCAUGCUUCCAAGAAAAGCUCCUAAGCUUCAGAUAACUGGGAACCGUACCCCAAACCGACACAGGUGGUUAGGUAGAGAAUACCAAGGCGCUUGAGAGAACUCGGGUGAAGGAACUAGGCAAAAUGGCACCGUAACUUCGGGAGAAGGUGCGCCGGCGAGGGUGAAGGACUUGCUCCGUAAGCCCAUGCCGGUCGAAGAUACCAGGCCGCUGCGACUGUUUAUUAAAAACACAGCACUCUGCAAACACGAAAGUGGACGUAUAGGGUGUGACGCCUGCCCGGUGCCGGAAGGUUAAUUGAUGGGGUUAGCGCAAGCGAAGCUCUUGAUCGAAGCCCCGGUAAACGGCGGCCGUAACUAUAACGGUCCUAAGGUAGCGAAAUUCCUUGUCGGGUAAGUUCCGACCUGCACGAAUGGCGUAACGAUGGCGGCGCUGUCUCCACCCGAGACUCAGUGAAAUUGAAAUCGCUGUGAAGAUGCAGUGUAUCCGCGGCUAGACGGAAAGACCCCGUGAACCUUUACUAUAGCUUUGCACUGGACUUUGAAUUUGCUUGUGUAGGAUAGGUGGGAGGCUUUGAAGUGGGGACGCCAGUUCUCAUGGAGCCAUCCUUGAAAUACCACCCUGGCAACUUUGAGGUUCUAACUCAGGUCCGUUAUCCGGAUCGAGGACAGUGUAUGGUGGGUAGUUUGACUGGGGCGGUCUCCUCCCAAAGAGUAACGGAGGAGUACGAAGGUGCGCUCAGACCGGUCGGAAAUCGGUCGUAGAGUAUAAAGGCAAAAGCGCGCUUGACUGCGAGACAAACACGUCGAGCAGGUACGAAAGUAGGUCUUAGUGAUCCGGUGGUUCUGUAUGGAAGGGCCAUCGCUCAACGGAUAAAAGGUACUCCGGGGAUAACAGGCUGAUACCGCCCAAGAGUUCAUAUCGACGGCGGUGUUUGGCACCUCGAUGUCGGCUCAUCACAUCCUGGGGCUGAAGCCGGUCCCAAGGGUAUGGCUGUUCGCCAUUUAAAGUGGUACGCGAGCUGGGUUUAGAACGUCGUGAGACAGUUCGGUCCCUAUCUGCCGUGGACGUUUGAGAUUUGAGAGGGGCUGCUCCUAGUACGAGAGGACCGGAGUGGACGAACCUCUGGUGUUCCGGUUGUCACGCCAGUGGCAUUGCCGGGUAGCUAUGUUCGGAAGAGAUAACCGCUGAAAGCAUCUAAGCGGGAAACUUGCCUCAAGAUGAGAUCUCACUGGAACCUUGAGUUCCCUAAAGGGCCGUCGAAGACUACGACGUUGAUAGGUUGGGUGUGUAAGCGCUGUGAGGCGUUGAGCUAACCAAUACUAAUUGCCCGUGAGGCUUGACCAU
rnacentral:rRNA from 1 species